rnacentral:sRNA from 1 species
UUGGGUCCCCGAUGGUCCUGGUUUGGCC